rnacentral:lncRNA from 1 species
GGAGGUCAUGGCUGCAAGUGUGGUGCAAACUGCAAAUGUGACCCUUGUACCUGUUGAAGACAAAGCUGGUACAACACCCCAAAAGCAGCUUUCUCUUCACUUGUUAUAGAAAAAAUCACUGGGGGGAAGAAUUAAGAAGUACUUUUGAUUUGGUUUCAUGCUUGUAAUAUAUAAUAAGAUGGUCAUGGCUUCUGCAAAUCUAUGUACUAGAUUUGUUAGCUAAUUAUGUCUUAUGUUCUCUUGUGUUGUCCUUUGUGAGUUGCAACCAUCCUUGCUUGUAUCAGUUCACUGAUAUGCAAUGCUUAUUGAAGAAAGAAAUGUAUGUUGUCAUGUAUCUCCAAUUGGUGGUCAAAUCUUCACAACAAUUGUUCCUGCACACCAAACAUUUACAACUAGUCAACAAAAUAUAAAACCUUACAAAACUUGCACAUUUAUUUAUAGGUUGUGCUGGUGCUACAACAACGUUAUUUAGAAAAAAAAAAAAGAAGAAGAAAUAAGAUCUUCAAUCCAUCAAAUGAGUCGGAUACACAGCACAUGAUUGAAUUGGAAAAAAAAUCAUAAUUUCAUUAUAUAUAUAUAUAUGUAUGUGUGUGUGCGUGUAUGUAUGUAUAUAUAUAUAUAUAUAUAUAUAUAUAUAUAUAUAUGUGCGCGCGCGCGCGCACCAGAGGAGAAGGGUUCAUAAGGGCUAGGAGAAGUUCCAAUGUUGUUGCUAACAAGAAGGGCAACUUUCAUGAUUAAAUGAAUACUUCCCGUGCAAAAGUAUAUAUCUCACGAUAGAAGUCCAAUUUGAAACUUCAGCAAAAUUUUUUACUGUUCCUCAAACAUCAAACAUAAAAAAUUUGAGACCAACUGUGCAAAAGAGAAUACAAGUGUAUGGAGAUAUUAGUGGUUUGAAUAAAUUAAAUAAAAAUAAAAUAGAAGAAAAACAAAUAUAAUUAGAAUUUUUAUUAUCCAUUUAAUACAAUUUUAUUCUAAUUUACAUCCCAUUUCUUCCUACAGCUCUUAAUAUUGCUAUUUAAAAUUUAGAAAAAUAUAAUGAUUUAAAAUCAAAAUAGCAGAGAUUAAAAGUGUGAAUUCAAAUUUGUUGAUACCAUUAGUCAUCCUUGAAUUUGCAUUAAUUAUCAUGAAUAUGCCUAAAAUCAAAAUCUUUAGGAACCAAUUUGCUUUAGACGAAACAUUGGGACCCAAUUAAUAUAUUGGUCAAAUAUUGAACACAAAUUUACCAUACACUGGAUGCAAGUUAGUGUCCACGCGGUCUUUCGAACAACAGAUCAUAUGCACACCCGUAAUUGCCAUGGAUAUUAUUUAGUAACUUAUCCCAAUUGUUGGCCAAAAUUCAGGUUCACUUUUGAAGAGCGUAAAUUUGUCAUACCGACCAAAAUCUGAUCUACCUUUUAGGCAUCAUAAACCCUCAACUUAAAAUUUACCGUUGGAUGAUAAAAGAGUGUUAACCUUUAAAUUGCGACAAUUUAGGCCUUGUUUGGAUUGCCGGUUUCCGUCGAAAAAUUACGUCGUUUUCUGUGAUCACAUUUCCCUAUUACCUUUUUCCCUCACAUACAUCAAAUCGCUACAGUAAUUUUUCCAUGAAAAAUCACGGAAAAUGCAAUCCAAACACAACCUUAAUAAUGUAAAAUGUAAAUUACUACUAUUGUCAAUGAUGUGGCAAUCAGUGACUGAAUAUAAAAAAGAGAAAAUUAUUUCUAAAGGGACUAUAUUGGUACUAAAUAAAGAUGAGGGAAUAAAGAUGACCAUAAAAUUUUCUUCUCUUGUCUGCGGCUGCAACUAUUUAAUCUAUUUUUACUUCUAUUCUUUGGAAGGGAAAGUCUACAUAGACCCCUGUAUGGGGGUUGGGGGAUGAACCACCAAAUUAGAUAAGUGCAUUAUUGCACUUUUCUGUAUCCCGAUGCACAUGAGAGUUUUUGAAAGAGCUCUUUUCUGACCAUUGGAUUAAGGGCCAAUGGUUACUGUAAACUUUUCUUAAAAUAAGUGAUGUGCCAUUACCAGUUGCUCCGUAAUUGGUGGAGUCUAUGCUCAAUUCUUGACGUUUAUUGCCAAAAGAACUCUGCUUUAAAUUAUAUAUCCAAAAUAAUUUAAUUUUAAAAUUUAUUACCUUUAUCAUCUUUUUUUUGCCACAUAGGUUACACAUAUACUGGGAUAGAGAUAAAGGCAUGCUUCAUUUCUUUUUCUUAUAUAAUAUCUUCCUCAAUUCUCUCUCUAAAUCUUUCUGCAUUUUUUUUCUUUCAUUAUCUUUUUCUUGACAAACAUAAUUCUGAAAAGCCAAUAUUUAUAUUAACAAUAUCGAAAACUUCAUUAUAUUCUUGAUAUUGUUUUGCUGGUUGAAAAUAUUCUUCUUGAAUUGAUAAUCGCAAGAUAAAUCAAUCUGCUUGUGCCUCUAUAAUAAAAAAAUUAAAAUUUUUAAUUCAUGUUAGAAAUUAUAGACUAGAUUAAAGAUUUCCCUUUUUGUUAUCCUACAUAACAAUGAGGAUAACAAGAUGGCAAUAAUAACAUCAUUAUGGGAAUAAAAUUUGAAAGCUAAUCACAUUGAGAAUAUCUUUUAGAAAGAGUGUUAUUUUGGCAAAAAAAACCCUGUUUUCCACAAUGGGAGUGCAAUAAAGGGUAUUACACCCAAAAAUUAUAUCCCCUUAUAGUAGGAGUGUAAUAGUCAUGAUGCGUAUCAUAAUCAUUAAACGCAUAAUAGACAUGCAAGGCAACAACAAAUUGGUUGCACGUCCCAUUUGAUAAUUUUAAAAGCUUUAAAUUUUAUGGGAUAUGUAUAGUAAAUUAUUCAAAUAAAUAUGUGAUUUGAUUGUGAAUUUAUAUUAUUAUAUUAUGUACAGUAUAAUUUAUAGUGAAAGAUAGUGUAAUGAAAGAGAGAAUAUUAUAGUGAUGAUGUGGCGUAUGAGUGUGAGCCAUGAAUAUAAUCCAUUGUGGAUGCAAAUAUAAUUUCUUCCCAAUAAGCAGAAUCAGCUGCCUUAGACUUGAUUUAGACAUAAAUGUAAUCUCUUGUCAAUAAUUUUUGUCCAUUUUAGCUGAUGUGUUUGAAUUUUUCUAUCAAUUAAAAUCAAGUUGCUUUGCCGGUUACGGAAAAAAUCUUGGAAGCAACAACUUGAAAGGGAUUCUCGUGUCUUAUACAAUUUUGUGGAGCAGUAGCCAGUAGGCACUCUUUGACAAUUUCAAAGGGAUGAUCACGCUAUACGUUUGGUCGGACAUUAAAUAAGUGGUGAUUGGAUGAGAAUUGAGUGAAAGACCCUAAUAAAAGGCAAAAAAAAAACGCUCAUUACGUUUGAUCAUUUCCUAUUUGCUUCAUUUUUUUUUUUUACAAUUUUAACUUUUAUUAAAAACAAGAAAAAGCCCUCUCUUCAUUGCUUUUAGGGUAAAUUAACUUUAUCCCCACGUGAUUUCGUAUUUUAUCACAUAACUCCCUUGUGGUUUAAAAAUCUAUAUAUAAACCCCGCCGGGUUUGGGUUAAUAUGUUACCGUUAGUUUUGGGUUAAAGAAAUGAUUUUAAAACCUAAUAUUUUGUCCUACAAAAUCUUAAUUUUCUCAAAAUACAAAAGAGAUGGAAGGGAAAUAAUAAAUAAAUAAAUCAUGAGGAAUUAUAUAUAAGUUUUUAAACCAUAUAUAUAAGUUUUUAAACCGUAGAGGAGUUAUGUAAUAAAGCAUCAAUUACAAAGGGUAAAAGGUAAUUUACCUUUGCUUUUAAUUGUUACAAAUUUAAAUAUGGUAACAGCAAAAUAUAAGUCCUCAUACUCGCCUGCUAAUUCAAUUAUUUACGAAAAAUGUUUCUUCGUCGAUCAAAGGAUUCUUUCAUAAUGAACAAGUACAAUAACCGGAAAAGAAAAUGCAACAAGCUGUUUACUUUUCGCUUUGCUUGCUUUUUAAUGAUUUAAUAUGUUUUGAAAAUUCUUAAUUGUGUCUGUAUAGCAGCAAGUUUCAUUCACGAUCUUCAAGUUGAUAGUAACAUAAUGCUUGGAAUAUGAGUUCUUGAUUGUGACGACAUUCUAAACACAAGUAUUAGAGAGCAGUCAUAAUAAAUUUUUUUCUGGUUAAUAGAAAUAGUCAUUCGCUACAACCGUUUCAUCUUAAUCAAUAAAAAGAAAAGUUAAAAGAAAAAAGUGGUGAUUCCUUUUUUUUUUUUUUUAAAUUGCAAUUGACUAGACGUCCCUGGUUAUACAGUAUUAAGGGUUUGAUUAAAAAUAGGUAUGCGCGCAUUCACAUAAUAAGUUAGGUAUAAUUUAGAUAUUUUAACGAGUGUCCUAUUAAUCGAAAAGAUCUUGGUUUAAUAGUUAAGAUUGAAACUUCAAAAUUCAGAAAAUUAGGUCUCAAUCCUCCCUUUUUAACUUUCCACUUCUUAGAUUUUCCUAGUAGGAAAAAGGAAAAAAGAAAAAAGAGUAUUAAAAGGGUAGACUAUUUUGGGGAACGUUACUUUCAAGAGGAAAAAUAUAUUAAAGUAGACAAGUAACAAGGACAAUGGCAAAACUUAAGAAAGCGAAGAUUUGAAGGCAUACGCGUUGCUGACGGCUUUCUAAGCAAGAGAGAAUGUCAAGUCUUCCAGCUCACGAGCACUUGACCUCAAGUAUUAAUGGUGUGGCUCAAAAAAAAAAAAAAAAAUCAAACGAAAAAAAUGAAAAGUUUGGUCCCUAUGAUUUGAACGUGAUGCAAUUUAGAGUUAACAAGUUAAUUUGCGACAUCAAUUGCUAUUUAUGUUAGAGUACCCAAAUCAAUUUUUUGCCUUCUUGUCAAUUUUGACGUGUAAAACAAUUUUGAAUCUUCCAAAUGUGGUGGAAUAUAAGAGGCCAAAUCUGUCAAAAUUGAUUCGUAAAAGCCAAGAAAAUCAACCAAUUGUUAUAGUAUAUAGGUACAAUAAAUCACAAGGAAACCAAUAGGGUGAAGUUAUCACUUAUCAAUGCCUACCCCAGUGGAUAUUUAUAAAUAGCAAAGCCAAUUCAUAUGGAGUGUUUGCUACGAAAUGUCCAAGUAAAUCAAUGACCAAGUGCAGAAAAGGAUAGGAUUGUUGACAAAAUGUUGUUUAAUCCAUUUGAUUAGUAUACGUAAAUCACCUCUUAUUGGUACACUUGUGCAUAUCAUUGUCAACAAAUUUCUUUAGCCUUGCACUAUAAAUAAAGCCAACAACUCUGGCAAAGAACUCGUACAAGAGUUGAUUUGAGCUUAAUACAAGCAGUAUUAUCCAUUAAUAUAUUCUUCUGUUCUUCAAACAUCUCUGUGAAGAUGUCUUCCUGUGGAGGAAACUGCGGGUAAAGUUCUUAUAUUUACUUUUCUUUUCUUUUUUUUUUUUCUGUUCAAAGUUCUUAUAUUUACUUUUACAUGUAUAACUGUGUUUUAUUGUUUAGCAAAAUAAAUUUUUUUUGAGCAUAGAUAUGUAUAGUUAAUAAUCUAGUGUUUCCUCAUAUCCUUUGGCCACUUACAGGGAAAAUAGUAUUGAGGAGUAUGCAAAUGAAAAAAAUUCAAAAUUUGAUCUGAUUUUUCUGAUUGUUUAGAUUUCGAAAAUCCCAUUUGACAAAUCUGUUAAAUUAGCCCUUGAUUGAUGGUAUUUGUCAGAAUAUGGUCAUGUCUGUAUGGUUAUGCUAUAAUCUUGAAUUUGGUCAUUGCUCUUAUACUUUUGUGUUUCUAUUUAUUGAAUAUUUGAACUGAAUUUUCUCUUUGAAUUUUGUUUCUGCCGGCAGAAACAUGUAUCCUGAUGUGGAAAAGGUCACAACUGUGACCAUCAUCGAGGGAGUUGCACCAAAGAACACGUACGUUUGAGUUCAUAUCUUGUUUUCAUAUUUAUUUAUUUAUAUGUCGAGAUCCAAAAUAUUACUCAACCCAAGAAAAAGUUUUAUAUCGGUAAUCUGCCAUUGAUGCAGAUACUCUGAUGAAUCUGCUGAGAAAAGCUCUGGUGCUGAAGGAGGUCAUGGCUGCAAGUGUGGUGCAAACUGCAAAUGUGACCCUUGUACCUGUUGAAGACAUAAUAUAUAGUUAGUUUAAGUCCCCCAAAGCAGCUGUUCUGAUCUUGUCAUCAAGAAAACUCUUUGGGGGGGAAAAAGAAGUGCUUUUGAUGUGGUCUGUGCUUGUAAUAUAUAAUAAGAUGGUCAUGGCUUCUGCAAAUCUAUGUCCUAGAUUUGUCAGAUAAAUCAUGGCCAUGCACUC